CCUUCCAGACCUAGGUAGAGUGGCAAUGGUAGUGGUGCCCAUCUCACAUCAGCCAGGGACAGAGUAACCCCUUGUUUCUCCCAGCUUGGCUUUGUACCACACCCAUGCCUGGUUUGUGCCUUGGACACAUGA